AACGAACGCUGGCGGCAGGCUUAACACAUGCAAGUCGAGCGCCCCGCAAGGGGAGCGGCCGACGGGUGAGUACCGCGUGGGAACGUACCUUUUGGUUCGGAACAACUCCGGGAAACUGGAGCUAAUACCGGAUAAGCCCUAACGGGGAAAGAUUUAUCGCCGAAAGAUCGGCCCGCGUCUGAUUAGCUAGUUGGUGAGGUAACGGCUCACCAAGGCGACGAUCAGUAGCUGGUCUGAGAGGAUGAUCAGCCACACUGGGACUGAGACACAGCCCAGACUCCUACGGGAGGCAGCAGUGGGGAAUAUUGGACAAUGGGCGCAAGCCUGAUCCAGCCAUGCCGCGUGAGUGAUGAAGGCCUUAGGGUUGUAAAGCUCUUCUGUCCGGGAAGAUAAUGACUGUACCGGAAGAAUAAGCCCCGGCUAACUUCGUG
rnacentral:rRNA from 1 species